ACUCCCAAGGAAAGUGACGCCUGAGAGAAAGAGCCAUUUGUUUGUCUUUUUAAUUUCAGCUUCUUCCUAAAUAAGACAGCCUUUUAGAAAGACUUUCACAGUGUCAGGUUAGUUACCUAAAUCUUAGGUAACUUUAGGUUAGUUACCUAAAGUCACUCUGUGACUUCAUCCUGAUAUAAAGGAACAAGGAAGAGAGUCGGAUUAGGCUAACUCACUAUGAUGGGGUAACACAUAGAAAAGGCACGGAGAAGUUAAGUGAUUUGCCUGUGGUCACAAAGCCUGUUAGCAGCAAACCCAGAACAAGAACCUAAGAUUUAUGACCGCCAGUUCCAGCUGUUUUUCUUCGUCAUGUAUCCUCAGCAAUCAACAUAAUCAAAAUCUGUUUGGAGACUACUGAUUUGUAUAAAGGAAGAUAACACCGAACAACCAAACAGGAAGUAAUCCAGCGAAUCUGGAACAGCGGUGGAAUUUAGAAGCAAGGCCAGAUGAGGACCCUAAGACCUAGAGAAACUAAGUCAUUUGCUCAAGAAGACAAAGGCAUCGUCUGGUCCAGUUCAGCACAGAGCUAGCUGCAAGUGACAACCUAAGAGAAAAGUCAGCGAGAACAAAGAUCCAUCUCUUCGUUGACUGCCUUAAUCCCUAGAGCUGUGUUCUUCAAUUUGUUACUAUUUGCUACAAUUUUUCUGCCUAACAAGCAAGUUCUAUCCUGCCUAGGAGAGAAACUUUUAGUAAAUUCAUCUUCAUUCACUACUAUUCAGCUCAUGCUGUAAAAACUUAGAUAAUGCUGUCUGAAAUACUUAACUCCUGGUCAAAUGCAGCUGCUAUUUCAUUC
rnacentral:lncRNA from 10 species